rnacentral:rRNA from 1 species
UACAGAGGGUGCAAGCGUUAAUCGGAAUUACUGGGCGUAAAGCGCGCGUAGGUGGUUUGUUAAGUUGGAUGUGAAAUCCCCGGGCUCAACCUGGGAACUGCAUUCAAAACUGACAAGCUAGAGUAUGGUAGAGGGUGGUGGAAUUUCCUGUGUAGCGGUGAAAUGCGUAGAUAUCGUAAGGAAGACCAGUGGCGAAGGCGAGUCUCUGGACAGCAACUGACGCUGAGGCACGAAGGCCAGGGGAGCAAACGGG